GAUACCUAAAGUUCCCAUAUCAAACUGCUCAGUAACACAUGAUCAACUUACCCUAUAUGAGAAAAAUAACCUCGGGAAACUGAGGAUAAUAUUUCAUAAUUGAAUUGGCUUGGAAAAGUUUUUCAAUGAAAAGGAUAAAAAAAAUGGUUUUUAUCUGCUAUAGGAUAGGAUCGUGUUCGAUUAUGGUUGUUGGUGAGAUAAUGGCUCACCAAGCCGAUAAUCGAUAGGGGCCGUGAGAGCGGGAGCCCCGAGAUGGGUACUGAGACAACGACCCAGGCCUUACGAGGCGCAGCAGGCGCGGAACCUCCGCAAUACACGAAAGUGUGACGGGGUUACCCAAAGUGUUCAAUAGAACUGUGGUAGGUGAGUAAUGUUCCCUACUAGAAAGGAAAGGGCAAGGCUGGUGCCAGCCGCCGCGGUAAAACCAGCUCUUCAAGUGGUCGGGAUAAUUAUUGGGCUUAAAGUGUCCGUAGCCGGUUUAGUUAGUUCCUGGUAAAAUCGGGUAGCUUAACUAUCUGCAUGCUAGGAAUACUGCUAUACUAGAGGGCGGGAGAGGUCUGAGGUACUACAGGGGUAGGGGUGAAAUCUUAUAAUCCUUGUG
rnacentral:rRNA from 1 species